CAGCUGUGAGGUCACUGAUGGGAAACUGCCCUCCAAAGUGCCCUCCACUUGUUCCCCCCUUCUCUCUCUCUCCAGGGCCCAACUCAACUCCCUUAGCCAGGAACUGAGCUCAGCUGACUCCAAGCAGCUUCCCAGCUGAAAAAAAAAGUGUUACUUGUAGAGGACAAAGGUGACCAAGGCUCCAGGGUCACAGCCAGUUCUUUGCUGCUUUCUGAAUGUAUGAGCUCUUCCUUGGAAGUCUGACACAGCUCUAUAAAACAGAGGAAUUGGUGCUAUACUUCCAUAGCACAAGAAGUUAACUAAUGUUUACAAGAUACAAACCUGGAUUCUGUUAGUCUUGGAAAAUGCACUGAGAAAAACUGAAGUUCACGAGUCACUGGCAGCUCAUGGCUGGAGACACAUCCUGAAGAAUCACUAUUGAUUUUCUGUGCUCUCAGACUCACCCCUAGGCAGAAUUUCUUGGCCACUACCCAGGGACAGGAUGCUGAGCCAGAUGGACCUUUACUCUGAGCAAAUGUGGCCUUUCUGGUGUUCCCAUGUAAAGUAUGACAAACUGGUACUUGCAAAAAAGCAGUAAAAUUUUUAAUUUACUGCUGACAAAAACAUCAGUUUAAUAUCCAUUAUAUCUGCACCAUUAAAAGUCCUGGUACAUGCUUCUUGUUUUGUAGUGAAAACCCCACUCAAUAAAAGCAAAAAUACUCAGGCUAUUUACUAGCUCCUUCAAGAGAU